GACUUUUUCCAGCAUCAUUUCAUCUGCUGCUUUCACAGGAACUCAGAAUGUUGAGAAAACAGGCUUGUUUCUCAGAACAGAAGGCUUAGAGAUCAGUCUUUUUUUUUUUUUUUUUUUUUUUUCUUAGAGAUCAGUCUUAUCCCAUUUCCAGGCAGGAUUUCCUGGAACUGAUCCAAAAAGACCACCCUUCCCUUUUCUUCAAAAAUCUCUGAAGAAAACCCCAAGCCCUGCCAUAGGGGUUAACCACAGUUCUCACAAAUUCUUUCUGCACAGACUACAUCCAUCCUAUUGGAAAAAUUAGGUGGCGAAUGUGGGUAAACGAUCUAUCCCAGUUUUCAGCAUAUAGUAAGCACUCGAUAUAUGGCAGCUUUUACUGUUACUUUUGUUAAUUGUGCCCUUGACCUAUAAUAGUUCCAGCACAGAGAAACGCAGCCGCUAGCUGAUCAUAUACAAUCUCUUGUUGUUUUUAAAGACCGUUUCAAAGAUCAAAUCUAUAUAACCACUGUCACGACCAGAGGGUUGGUGGGUCCCAUGAGUCCUGAUUAGAAAGGCAGUGGUGUAAGUAACUGGAACUCCCGGGCCUUUGCGGUCAAGAGCAGUGAAACAGGAAGAUCCAGAACUAUUGAAUCCUCACUCCUGAUUCAACUCAGAUACAAACCCCUGGCUUUUGCACUGUCCUUGCUUUUUUGGUUCCAGGUUAAGUACAUCCUUUUGUCAGACCCUCUCCUCUUCUGGGAUACUCACACCAGAAUCCACCCUCAGAUGUUGGGACAAAUUUCACCAUACAGCCCUCCAAGCCAUCUGCAUAUGAUACCUACAAAAAUGACCAAUUCAGUUGCAGAGGAGGAAAAAAACCCACAAACAUUUAGUGACCAGCUUAAUGCCAGUCCACCGACCAUUUUUCAUGGAUUAUUCUGGGAAUCAUGUGCAGAUAUUUAAAACGGGAUAGAGAGCUAAAGUGAGGUAUUAAGAAUUCCUCCCAGACCCAGAAAUCUUUCCCAUACCUGAUGAUUAAAACAUUUAUAGUUCCUCUGCUUUUGCUUCUGUGUCUUAAGUGUCCUUGACCAUUGUAAAAGUGGUGUAUGUUUAGUAGUGGUGUGUGCCUAGCAGUGCUGUGACUGCCGUACCAUCUGCCUAUGACCUUGAUGUCAUGCACGUGACCAUGGGGCUGCCAGCCAGGACAUGCGAGGGGAGAGGGUCUUCCAGCCUCCUUGUGUCCGGGCCUCCAGUUAUCCACGAAUGUGAGUGCCAUGACUAACCUAAUUUGGUGGGGAAGCUAAGGAAUGGAAGAGCAUUUCUUAUGACUUUGGGCCAAGCAGUAGUUAUUGGGCACUCUUAAAGAGCAAAGAAAGGUUGACCUGAGGUCAGGGGAAGCAGGGACAGAAUUGUAGAACCAUAGGAUACCAGAAAUGGAAGAGCCUUUCAACUUCUAUAGUCCUAAUCCUUGACGUUACAAAUGAGAACUGGAGAAACAGGCUAAAUGAUUUUCCCAAGAUUACAUAGAUAAUCAGUAGGAAAAUUUAUGACUCUCCAUCUCCUCCUUUACCAGCAUCAAAUGAAGAUGGGCCCAAAAAGAAAGUAUUUUAGUCCGGGGUCCUCAUGGCACAGAAAGUACACUGUAAAGGAGGAAAAUUUAUUCUCCCUCACCGCCCCCCCCAAAAGUAUUUAUUUGUCAGUGUAGACAGUUAGGGAGAUGGUGCCUAAGCAUACAACAUCCACUGAUAAUAACCUGCAUUCUUCCCUGAAAUGAGAGAAAACCCCCUUGGCAAAUCAUGAUUCUGGUAAAUCACAAUUUAGUUACUGACAGUUCACAGUUGACAGCUAGAAUCUCAUCCAGUAAUUCAAUAUCCACUUUAUAAAACCUGGUUUUAGCAAUAUAUAUGCACAAUUUAAACGCUGAAUCCUGAGAACAGUUAUGUACUUCUUUUGAAAAUUCGUAUUCAGUUUAUUUAACCCAAGAAAAUUUCACUUGUUGUUUUGCUCCAUGUGUAUUAUUUUCAGCUGGGGCCUGUUGAGGUAAGGAAUAACUUUUGUCAAUGCCUUCCACAUUGCAAGUAAUUUCAACAGCCAACUUUGCAUUAUUGCAUUAGUUUAGUAUGUUAAGAAGAUGCGAAUAAUGAAUAAUGUUGAACUGAGUCUUCUGGUGCAAAAUAACAGACCAAACAAUUUUCUGUAUAAAUCUGGAUCCUUAAAUCCCUUUUCUUCAAAUUGUUUAAAUGUGCUAGGCAAAAGUAUCUGUGUAGCCUCUCCUUCUCCCAGAAUAUGCAGAACUGUGCUUUUGCUUAUAAAGAUUGUUGGGAUCGUGUGUAUGUGGCUAAAACCCCCAGAUGGAGCAUCGCAGGUGCCAGAGAGUUAGAGGCUCUGGGCCACCUGACUGACCUACCUGGGCUCUGUGGCCCAAUUAAUCAAGGCCAUAGGUGAAUUGACACCAAGGAUCAAAAUAACUAAAUAUGCCUCUCCCACAUUCUGAUUGCUUUGCCACACAGGUUUAACGUUUGAAAUGGGAAAGAUUUUAGAAUGUCAUUAUUGUAUUACACAGUAUAUCCUAAAAUUUGUUUUUAUUGUGAUGACUUCUUAUUGAAGAUACGUGUUUUAACAGAUGUUGUUAUCCUCAAUGAAGCCCAUUCUCAUGUUGUUAAUUACAGUGAAAUCACAGUGAAGAGCCUGUCACAGAAAAGCUGACGCCAAUCUAAGAUUACAAUAGGGUUAUGGGGUUAGGACCUGGAUCAUGCUGCUGAUCCACCAGCAAACAAAGCUGUAUGACACGAGGAGCUCUUUAAAACACAACUCUUGCUCCCCACCCCAGACCUUUGACUCAGAAUGUCCUAGGAUAAGCUAAGCUUAUAAAGAUUCCCAGGUAAUUCUGAGGUCCCCAGCAUUUGAAAACAAAUAAUAUAUAGCAAAGUCAUAUAUACCAUUUUGACCAAAGUAGCUGAAUGCUUAUCACUCCUCAUGCAAUUAGUAUCACAUCUGUUCCUUGAAGUUAUCAUAAUACAUGGCAAUAUAGACACAGUCUUAGUGAUUCAACUAUUCAACUGUUUUGGCUGAAUUGACCUGUCACUGAUUUGUAAGCAAAUAGUAACUGGUUAAUUUAGUCAGAAUGGAUUCAAGCCUGAAGACAGUCGGAGUGAGGGACAUAGCUUUAAUAUACUUUACCCCAAGGCCAGCUCUCUAUAUUUCGCUUUUGAUAUUUCAAAAGGAGAGGCAGAUCUCAGGUCAUUCGUCUUUACAAAUAGAUAGACUGAGAAACAGGGAAGUUAAAUGACUCAUUCAGAUUCUACUUGGAUGUCAUUCCCAGAGCCUAAAAUAUUCCUAAAGGGGUCUGAUUUCUUAACCUACAGGUUAUGCGCAAAAUGCAAAGAUCCUCAGGUUAAAAUGAAACCAAUCAAAAAAGGAAAUUGAAGGAGUUAAAAUUCUAAGACUGAGUAUAAAAUUCUAAGACCAACUGAACCAGUUGUCACUGGCUGCCCUGUAUCAACCUCUGUUGAAUAAGGUGCCACCAUGCUAAUGACGUUUUGGCCAGGUUCCUUUUGAUAGCUGUGCACAUGCCUUUAAUCAUCAGAGUUACUGAAGGCCUCCUUUGAUUUUCUUUCUGUGGGAGUCAGAGACAAUUGCGGCUCUUUGGUGUGCUGCUAAAUAUUUCACAACUGGAUCUGGAAAAGGUGGCGCCCUGAUGUGUAGCUCUUGCCAAUUUCCGUGGUAUAAAUAUUCUCAACAUAGACGGUUUCAAGCUACUAACUUUAUGUCAACCAGCUGAACAUGUAACAACAUGUUUUCAGGAGCUCCAGCACGGCACCACCUGAACAGCUGCUGAGUCCGAGAGUACCAAACAGGGGAGAGGCUGGCAGUGGCUUUGGAGAAACUCCCAAGUGCCCCCUCCCCACAAGGAGGCAUUUCUACUUUAGUUAGAUCUACUAAUUUUUAGUAUAUUAUUGGGUCCUUGAGGCUAAGGACCCUGAAGUGUUCAAAAUAUUUCCUAGCCAUGUGACUCUUAGGAACUUCUCAACACACCACUCAGUACUUUGGGGGACUACCAGCCAUGGUUUUUCUAAUCUCUAAGGGCAAGCUUCCAGGUAAACAUUCUUUAAUUUAACUGCCAGUUGAAACCAUGUUUAGCUGAUCUUUUCUCAUAUCCUGUAGUCCAUGGCCUGUUUCCCCAAAUCUCAAAUUUUCCCUGUCCACUUGCUUCUCAUUCUCCAUCAUAGCAUGCAGAAAUCAGUGCUUGCACAGGAGCAGGAGAAGAACAGACAUCCAGUAAGCUUACCUAGCCCCGCCACACCUGCAGAGGCUCCAUGGUUCACAUGUCUUUACUUCAUUAAGGGACACCUGCUAAGCCUCAUGCCCAAGGCUCGAAUAUGCACCAGGCUGGGCUUUUUUGCCCCCCUAAAAGUUUCUGAAGGGCAAUAAAUACCACAAAUAAGAACUCCAUUGGGUAAACAUGAGGAAGGCAACAUGUGAUGCCUUGCCCCUACCUAUGCUAGUGUAAGGCUGGACCUUGAAAGAACCUACCACUGCAGUCCCCUGGGCAUUGAGCAGUUGUGCUCCCACUAGUUGUAAGCGAAUUCCCCAUUUAACAAGAGUGUUUAGAAACCAAAUACUCUGGUGAGCCACAGAACAAGUUUGGUUUGCAAAUUAAAGGUUUUUCUGAUGGAAAUCAUUCUUAGGUGGAUUUGAUUAGAUCUUUUGAAAGGCAAUACUGGGAAAAAAUGUAUUUAAUUCCUCAAACAUAAUAAGUGGACAUAGGCUUUUAUUCUUUAUGUAGUAAAUCAAAAUUAGAUCAUAGCAGGCAAAAUCUACUUUACUUGCUGUAGUAAAAUAUCCUGUAGGGUCUGUAAGGCAUUUCUAGACUACAAAUGUUUGAAACUCAACUUAAACAUUGUCUAUCUUAUGUUUGAAAAGCCAAGGUAUCCCUCUGUUUUCUGUACUUCUUAGUAGUCAUUGAAAUGAGCUUGCUUCUUUAUACUGAAUAAGCUACAUUUUGUUUUAAAUGAAUCAGGUACAUGUUCAGAUGCUUUUCUGUAUUCACAACAAAUUGCAUGCAGCCUGGGCACAAAAUAUACCUUCACCCCCUGGCUUUUUUCUGGACACCAAAGAGAUAAGUCCAUAGCCACAAGCAGAAAGGAUUUGAUAGCAGGCCCCAUUUUGUCAUGAACAAAUUCACAGCAAAAUCAGCCUUGAGGAACCAGUCACUCCCAUAGUAUCUUGAGGUAGGGAAGUAGGUUAGAAAAAUUGGUAGAUUAUAGGAGAGAAGUUUGAUCAUGUGUAGAUGUGGAACAAAGUCACUGAAGUACUUACAAAAAGGAAAGGGAGGUUUUCCUCUGAAAUCUGGAAUCUAGAUCAUUUUGCAAGACUUAGAACAAUUGGUCUCCACAUCUAAACACUCUUGAACCACAUUUCAAAAUCCAAAUCUAAGCCCUUAUUAUGCAGAAAAGGAGCCUUCCGGCCAAGGGCCCUGGUAGGGCUUUAUAUUGAUGAAUUGAGAUCCUAUCACCAAGCAUCAGCAAUUAGCACUGAAAUUCUCCCAGGACACAGAACAAAAUAUUGAAACAUCACAACGCAGCAUCGUUUAUUCACAUAGAAGAGUCAACUACAAGCAUAGCAGAACUUCACAGAUCUAGACAUUAUCUCAGGUCUAGAUCAACAUCUUCAGCAUGGAGAUGAAACAGGUGAGGUCCACAAAGUAGGAAGUGAUUUAGCUGCCCAGCUAGUUAACUGCAGUUAGAGUCUGGGUCUCCUGACCACUGAUUCUACUCCAGCACACCAUGCUGCCUCCAUUCUUUAGAAGGGAAGCUGACAAUCCAUUGUGAAGCAUAAAUCAGAAGUCAAGACAAAAGAAUGUUUGUGAUAUCUUCUCUCACUUGACCUACUUGGUUUCACCACUUCAUCUCAGUAUCUCUUUAAAGCAUGUUAUGCCAAUGUAGAAUGAGGAACAAAAACUUUUUUCAGAGUAAGGAUGAAACCAAAAGGUGGGAGAACAGUGAAUGUAAGUUAUUAAAGAAAUGAGCAAGAAGCAUGCAUCAGGGAAAAUAAAUGCUUCUUAUAUUGUCAUAACCAUAGAGCCCUCCCCUCACAUACUUGAUGAUGCAUUUAUUUUGGAAAAUGCCAUUUUAUGCUGAAAGACUGGCAUCGAAGACUUCACUCCUUCUCAACUACAUCAGAAGCACUCUCGCUCUUUGGGAGAAGCUGCGGCCCUUAGGAUCGGACUCCCAUCUCCCGUGACAGGUGGCCUCAGCUGCCCUGAGAAACAUGGUGCCGGACGGACAGGGCCUUGGAAACCUGAGAGGAGUCAGCAUGGCUGGACUGAGGAACAUGUAAAUAUCUUCCGCCUUCUUGGUCAACAAGGAUGACCAUCUUUCUUUAGUAGAGGUAAUCGUGUGUAUAUUGUGACUGUAGUUUGUGACAAAAACACAAUGAUUUGCUUCGACGGCUCCCUACUUGUAUACCUGUUGAGUGUGAAUGUACCUGCCUCACUGCCUCGUGUGCCAAACACAGUACUGAAUGCAUUGUUUUUAAAUAAACUGUUCUACUGU
rnacentral:lncRNA from 1 species